rnacentral:lncRNA from 1 species
CAGGACGUGUGAAGUUAGGCAGUCUAGGGGUCUUGGCCUCGGGAACUUGGUGACUGUGAUGUUGCCGGGACGGGGCGGAGCAGGCCCCAGACUGUGAUGAGGGCCCCAGGAUUUGCCUCUUUGAUGUGCCAGGAGAGAAGAGGCCUGUGAAGCGGCUGCCACUGUGAGGGUCCCAGGAUUUGCCUCUGGCUACAACUACAU